rnacentral:ncRNA from 1 species
GUUCGGGUCGAGAGAACCUAAUACAAUACCGAAAGGAAAUAAGUUCCGCCGUCUGAAGCGGUAGUUGAAGCCCGAACACCACUAA